GAUGAAGAACGUAGCGAAAUGCGAUACGUAAUGUGAAUUGCAGAAUUCAGUGAAUCAUCGAAUCUUUGAACGCAUAUUGCGCUCUCUGGUAUUCCGGAGAGCAUGCUUGUUUGAGUAUCAGUAAACACCUCAACUUCCAUAUCUUUUUUGAAAUGGGAGUUGGACUUGAGUGAUCCCAACGCUUUUCCUCACCGAAAAGUGGCGGGUUACUUGAAAUGCAGGUGCAGCUGGACUUUUCUCUGAGCUAUAAGCAUAUCUAUUUAGUCUGCCUAAAAAACAGAUUAUUACCUUUGCUGCAGCUAACAUAAAGGAGAUUAGUUCUUUUGCUGACUGAUGCAGGAUUCACAAAGACAGCUUCGGCCGACUUUGUAAACUCGAUCUCAAAUCAAGUAAGACUACCCGCUGAACUUAAGCAUAUCAAUAAGCGGAGGA
rnacentral:misc_RNA from 1 species